rnacentral:rRNA from 1 species
GCCGGCAGCUAGCUCUCUGCAACUUCACAUGGUCGCCCACUGAAGCUAAGCAGGGCUGCGCCUGGUCAGUACCUAAAUAGGUGACCACAUGAGAAAGCUAGGUUGCUGUUGGAA